CUUCGGCGUAAAGCGUGGUUAGAAUAGAAAGAUAAAUUAAAGCCGAAUGCUCCCUAAGCUGUUAUACGCUCUCGAGAGCUAGAAGAUCUUUUACGAAAGUAGCUUUAUUACAUUGAAUCCACGAAAGCUAAGAUACAAACUGGGAUUAGAUACCCCACUAUGCUUAGCCCUAAACUUAGAUAAUUAUAUUACACCUAUUAUCCGCCCGGGUACUACGAGCACUAGCUUAAAACCCAAAGGACUUGGCGGUGCUUAAUAACCCCCUAGAGGAGCCUGUUCUAGAACCGAUAACCCUCGUUAAACCUCACCCUUUCUUGCCUAUUCCGCCUAUAUACCGCCGUCGUCAGCUUACCCUGUGAAAGACAUAGUAGUAAGCAUAAUUAGUU
rnacentral:rRNA from 1 species